rnacentral:lncRNA from 1 species
AGGUGUGUUUCCAUGGGCUUGCGUCAAAGGGAAGAUCUCAUACAACCCAUGGAGUAUGACGUCAAGUUGUGAUCGUCAUCAAAAUUGCGAUGUGCAAGUUCAAGUGGAUCAGCACGAAGAUAGCAUGCUUGAAGCUUGCCGUCCAUUGUGGUGGCAAUGGACUUGUGAAGAUAUGCUGAAGAGUGGCUCACCCAUAGUGAGUAUGGGGGAGCAAUCAACUAGUCUUCAUCAAGCCAACACAAUCAAGAAAGGUGGUCCAUCUUGAGGAAGCCAAGAUCAUCAUCA